UUGGAUUUUUUUUAAUACUUUCCUUAUUUGAAAAAGGUCAUUCUAUCUUCUACAGAGUUUUAAUAACUUGCAUUGUCAAUUGUGUUAGGUGCUGACAUGAAUUUGUGCGUAGACUUAGGAAUUAUCUAUUUUAUUCUAUCUCACUUUAUUCUAAAGCAAACUAAAUAAAACAUUAUGCAUAACAUAUGCCUGUUUUUAAAGCUCAGUGCAAAUCAUGUUGGUGCAUCACCAUUAGGAAGGUGCCCGUAUAAUAUUAUUUUCAUUCCUAUUUAUUAUAUACUUCAUGUAUAAAGUAUUUUUCCAAAGAGCAUGCCCCACAUAUUUAAAACCACCCUCCCAAUUUUUGUACAAGAUAAACAGGCGAGAGGGCAGGAUGUUUACACAGCAAAAUGUAAACAUGUUCCCUCUUGAAAUAAAGAAAAAAAAUCAACUAAAGCCCAAUUCAAUCAGCUAAUAGUCAAUCUCGUGUGAUGUGCCCUCAUAGUGAAGAAGUAGGAGACUUUUUUUGUGUGUGUGCACCAGAAUAUUGUUUGUAUAAGUCAUAAUAUUUAUGCAGAGGACGCCCGAGGAGUGAAGUGGAUUUGCUCUGCCGGAUUCUGAGCUCACAACCUCGGGUGGAGACCGUGGAUCGACUGCUGGCAGACUUGCUGGGACCAUCGUAAUGAAGAAGCAUGCUGGCUCUGUCCCACAGUGGGUCUGUCCCACACGCUGAGUGGGAGCCAGUUAAUGUUGCCCCACCCUGUGGCUCAGCACACCUCCCAUGCCGGGCUGGUCCAUCACGGUGUGACUGAUGCUGCUAUUGAGCCAUCAAUAAUAGGAGAUGAGACAAAAACCACAGUGGAGAGGACAUGAGGAGACUUGGGCCACCACAGCAGACUGGAGUGGGCAGGCAUGCGGCUUUGGCCGCAGGAAGCAGUGAAUUCUUUGGAGAAUGGAAGAUGUCUUUCUAGGCCCCCCCUCUAACCCUCCCGCUACCCCAGAAUGACCCCUGACCCAUCCGUAUGUUUAUAUCAGAGCAUGGAAGUGAGAAAUAGUGAUGAGUCACUCCGGCCGUGUGUUUACGCUCCGAAGUCACGCAAGGAAGGAAAUCAGCCACGGUCUGCUACAAGUGGCGAGCUGGGAGAGAGAAUAGCUGCGGCCCCCUCAGCGCCACAAAGGUGCACCUCUCUGUGAGCGGGAUUUUAGGAUUUCCUUCACCUGAGAUCUGCUGCAAACACUGCAGGCCUACAGGACAUUGUAACUGGUCAAAUUGAUCACAUUUGAUCCUGACAUUGCAAAACACAAUUUGCAAUGGACUGAUUAUGUACGUUAUUGUAUUCAUACCAGUGGUGUUUUUACUGUGGACGCAUCGAAGUCCACUUCUAAUUUGUUCAAAACCAUUUUCCUCAUAGGGAUUAAUUAUAAUUGAAAAAAAAACAUGAAUUCCAGGGUCAAACUGUCAACAUCAUAAAACCUCUAUCAACUUCACAGUUGCCAUCUCUCCAGGCUGCUCUUGGGGAUUCAUAACAAAAGGUCCCAAAUGAAACAAAAUGCCGCAUGUUUUAAGUCCCACAUUCAAUGUAAACUGUAUGCAUGUUUGAAAUAAAUUAAACCAUAAAUGAAACCAUACAUUUGGAUGCCUACUUGUCGCCAGGCAGGAUUACCGGGGCACAGUCAUUAGUGAGUGGCAUAUGGCUGCUGUCCAGUGAAAAGCAUUUAUCUUCAAAUGUGAGUCUUUUUAUCAGAAAAUGCCCCUUGGCCAUUCUUUUGAGUGACCAUUUGAUUAUAAAGCUGUUGUUGUCAAGAGAGAGCGUUCCUCCACUUACGCUCUAUAAAUAAACGUAACACCUCAUUGCUUUCCACCUAUAUAGCACACACACACACACGCACGCACGCACAGCCUCAAUAAGAGCCUACAGCUUUUAUUUUGGCAAGAUUUCUCCUGGAUUGUACCUCCUGUCAGGGGCUUUGAUUGAUAGUUGUGUUUAUCGCCGUAUUAUUAAGUAAUCAGGCUGACCGCAGCAGGGCCUCAAGCUCCUUGAUUCCACUUCAGUGCAAAUUAAAGGUUUGCUUCAUGUUUAUUCUUGUGAUUUUUCUUAAAGAGAUAUAUAUUUAUAUAUAUAAGUGUUUUAUAGGAGUGUCCUGAUUGCUGCAGUCGCUUGGGAACAUUUAGUGGGAUGCAUCCUCAUCACGUAGAUCCAUGCAGGACAUUCACGGUCCUGCUAGAGUGUAAACAUCCUGCCUUUUAAGACACUUGUACAUUGCUGUAAAAAAUAGCGUUAAAUGAGCACGUGGAGUUAUAUGUGCCACUUUUUGGGCGUCAACAACAAGAAGCACUCAGCAAAGGUGGGCGCUCACUUGGGUAACAUAGCCUACGACCGUCUGACUUUGUGUAUGGGCCGAGUAAACAAAGUCACGGCAACGUGGACUUGCUGCUGAGUGUGUCCUGAUGGACACACUGCACUGACUGAGACACUGGCAACUAUCUUGUUUGAUGAAUGGCCCCUGGAUCAUAGGCCAUGUAUUUGGGUUAUUUAAGUCCUCUAAAAAGGUGGAACAUUGUGCUCCAGACAGUUUGGGUCAGGAAUCAGUGGGGUGACAAAUGUUUCAUGAUGUUGGAUCCGUGAUAUCAAGAUGAUCAUUGAAACCUAUUAUUGUAGUGAUGGUCGGUUUCCUUUUUUAACCACAGUUUGGAAACUCCCCGAGUGUGUCAUCGCACUAUUGCUGCACUGAAACACCUAUGUGUGGCUAUGUGUGAGACUUGUUGUUAUACAAAUGAUGUUCUUCAUAUUCAUAUUAGGAAUUGGAUCCCGACAUGGGAAACAAAUGUUCAUAUCAGUUGGUACAGUGCAAUAAUCCAUACAUGUAUAUGUGCAGUACAGGAAGUAAAUGAACCCUGAUGACCACGAUUUCCUUUCACAUUAUUUGUUUACACCAAAUUAUGAUUAUAUAUUUGUUUUUAGGUGUCUAAUAAUUGAAUA